UACGUAGGUGGCUAGCGUUGUCCGGAUUUACUGGGCGUAAAGAGCGCGCAGGCGGUCGUUCAAGUCGAGUGUGAAAGCCCCCGGCUCAACUGGGGAGGGUCACUCGAUACUGAUCGACUCGAAGGCAGGAGAGGGAUGCGGAAUUCCACGUGUAAGCAGUGAAAUGCGUAGAUAUGUGGAGGAACACCGAUGGCGAAGGCAGCCCCCUGGGUCAAAACUGACGACUCAUGCACGAAAGCGUGGGGAGCAAACAGG
rnacentral:rRNA from 1 species